GUCUGUACUCGUGUGACAGCAGCCUCACCUGGCACGUGUGAGGGCCUGUCACACUUUACAGGCCCCUGAGUUACCCUUUGGGCUGCUGAGGAGACCUGGCUGUGCUGUCCCGUGGUGAUGAUCUCCUCUUGUUGGGAAGAGAGUUGCCAUGACUGCCAGACUCAGUGUGGAGUUUGACUGGUAACUCCUGCAUAAAUGAGUCAUCUGAGGAAUUAAAAAUCAGCCCAGCACAGAACCAAACAGAAGAAAAUACUCUCACAGAAUAAUUUGGU
rnacentral:lncRNA from 1 species